CAAUAGAAGCUCUUAACUUUCUGAAGAUGUGCGCAGAAAAAUAGCAGUGCUCAGUAAUUUUCUUAUUUACCCAUCACCAUAAUAUAUUAGAUAUGUCAAAGAUAAAUAUAUAUAUAUUUUCACAAUUACGAUCACAACUCCAAAACCUUGUCAAGAAGAAUAAGUUUAAUCUCAAGUUUUGUUAUAUUAAUGUUUAUUCAUAAUUAGUAAAAAGUGUCAUUUUUUCAUAUUUUUAAAAUUAAAUUGUUGAAACUACCUUCAAGUUUUUUCUUACCGCAUGAAAAUCUGCAUCAAUUCUAAACCUAUUGACCUAAAUCGAGCGAAAAAUUUGUCACACAAUUAUCAAAAGAGAUAAGAAGAAUUGAAAUAGGUGUGCGAAUAAAUAAUUAGCUCUUAAAUUGUGUUAAAAAGUAAUUUGAUGAGUGAAGUUAUAUAUCCUGUCUAUCCAAAUAUUGCAAACAUCUAUUUUAUUUAUGCAAAGUAAUGGAUGAUAAGAACACGUUGUAAUUGCUAUAAUUUAUUGAAAAUUUUCCGUUACAAAAUAUGCCAACGAUGAGCGUUAAGGAGUUCAGUUUAAAUAGAGAGACAAUAAUUUUUGUCUUAACAAUAGAGCUACCAAGCACGUCUUGUUGAUCCUUUGGAAUUGUCGAUCUUCAAAAAAAUAGUUAUAAGGCAUGUAAUGCUAAAAUCUUUGUACAAACAGGCCUUUAAAUGUCUAUAAUCAUUUUUUUUAUAGUUAUUCUAGUUUUCGAAAUGGCGCCAAUAGGUAAAAGAUGAAGAUAGAAAGCUGAAAUCUAGUACAAACAUUGUCCGUUCGACUAAGAGCUUAAGGACAAAAAAUGGUUCUGAACUGCCUCUACGCAGGAUCACAAGUUAGAAGAAACUCGGAGGAGGACUCCCGAGGAUUUUGAUCCAGAUGUUCGUUAUGAUAAACUUCACUUUCAAUCUAAAAAUGUUCCUGAUUGGUUUGUUAUCACGUCCAGAAUUGACUACAAAAUUGUAAUCCUAAUUUUUGUUUCAAUUUAUUUUCAAUUUCCUCCAGCGCAUUUUAGCCCAUUCUUAACCCAAUUACAUGUAAGUUGUGAUCAUUUUUGGACCGAACAUACAGGUGGCUCCACGAGCUAUCUUCACGGAAUCGAAAGUUAUGGACGAAAAUGUGUUUGGUGUCUUUUCGCGGUGGCCUCACUUUUUAAUUAACUGAGGGCGGGAAACGACGAUUUGGAUGAUUUCAUGAGAUACGUAUCUAUCCUAUAAACGGAACAACGAUUUUUUACUAUAAGCAACACUUAAUUUUGAAAAUCAUCGUGUCAAGUGCAAGAUUAAGGUAAG